CUUCUGCCAACUUGGCACAACCACUGCAUUAGCUGAUUCAUCAAUCAUAAAACCCGGCCCUCAACGACGAAGGCCGGUUUUCCCGAGAGAACGGGACAAGGACAAAGGUGUCCUCGCCAGGUAACUGGCGGGAUGCC
rnacentral:sRNA from 1 species